rnacentral:misc_RNA from 1 species
UUUCCGUAGGUGAACCUGCGGAAGGAUCAUUAAUGAGUUGUCAUGGGGUUCGAUGCUGGCAGCUAAUUUUUGGAUGCAUGUGCUUGCCCUAACAAUCAUCUUCCAAACACCUGUGCACAUUUUUGAGGGAAUCUUGAGUUGGUUGCCGCUCUUGGGUGAUUUUCUCACAUUCCCUUAAAUCAUUAUACGCUAUUAACAAUGUUGAACGUGCUCUGUGCCGCAAGGCUAUUAAUAUAAUACAACUUUUAACAACGGAUCUCUUGGCUCUC